rnacentral:rRNA from 1 species
AGAGUUUGAUCCUGGCUCAGGAUGAACGCUGGCGGCGCGCCUAACACAUGCAAGUCGAACGGACGAUGAAAAGCUUGCUUUUCAAAGUUAGUGGCGGACGGGUGAGUAACGCGUGGGUAACCUGCCUCAUACAGGGGAAUAGCAGCUGGAAACGGCUGAUAAAACCGCAUAAGCGCACAGUGCCGCAUGGCACAGUGUGAAAAACUCCGGUGGUAUGAGAUGGACCCGCGUCUGAUUAGCUUGUUGGCGGGGUAACGGCCCACCAAGGCGACGAUCAGUAGCCGGCCUGAGAGGGUGAUCGGCCACAUUGGGACUGAGACACGGCCCAAACUCCUACGGGAGGCAGCAGUAGGGAAUCUUCGGCAAUGGACGAAAGUCUGACCGAGCAACGCCGCGUGAGUGAAGAAGGUUUUCGGAUCGUAAAACUCUGUUGUUAGAGAAGAACAAGGAUGAGAGUAACUGUUCAUCCCUUGACGGUAUCUAACCAGAAAGCCACGGCUAACUACGUGCCAGCAGCCGCGGUAAUACGUAGGUGGCAAGCGUUGUCCGGAAUUACUGGGUGUAAAGGGAGCGCAGGCGGGUGAUCAAGUCAGCUGUGAAAACUACGGGCUUAACCCGUAGACUGCAGUUGAAACUGUUCAUCUUGAGUGAAGUAGAGGUUGGCGGAAUUCCGAGUGUAGCGGUGAAAUGCGUAGAUAUUCGGAGGAACACCGGUGGCGAAGGCGGCCAACUGGGCUUUAACUGACGCUGAGGCUCGAAAGUGUGGGGAGCAAACAGGAUUAGAUACCCUGGUAGUCCACACUGUAAACGAUGAUUGCUAGGUGUGGGGGGUCUGACCCCUUCCGUGCCGGAGCUAACGCAAUAAGCAAUCCACCUGGGGAGUACGACCGCAAGGUUGAAACUCAAAGGAAUUGACGGGGACCCGCACAAGCAGUGGAUUAUGUGGUUUAAUUCGAAGCAACGCGAAGAACCUUACCAGCACUUGACAUCCAACUAACGAAAUAGAGAUAUAUUAGGUGCCCUUCGGGGAAAGUUGAGACAGGUGGUGCAUGGUUGUCGUCAGCU